UAGGGAAUCUUCCACAAUGGGCGCAAGCCUGAUGGAGCAACACCGCGUGAGUGAAGAAGGUUUUCGGAUCGUAAAACUCUGUUGGUAGAGAAGAACGUUGGUGAGAGUGGAAAGCUCAUCAAGUGACGGUAACUACCCAGAAAGGGACGGCUAACUACGUGUCAG
rnacentral:rRNA from 1 species